UUUGGUGGCGAUGCGCUUAGGGGAAACACCCGUUCCCAUCCCGAACACGAUGGUUAAGACCUAAGCGGCCGAUGGUACUGCACUGGAGACGGUGUGGGAGAGUAGGUGGCCGCCAAAU
rnacentral:rRNA from 1 species